CGGUUCGAACCGUUUUUGCACUUUUGGAUUGGUUCGUCAAAGCCGUUUUUUUGGUCUUUGAACCGGGGUUUCGGUUCGGUUCAACGGUUCGAAAA